GACGAACGCUGGCGGCGUGCUUAAUACAUGCAAGUAGAACGCUGAAGGAGGAGCUUGCUUCUCUGGAUGAGUUGCGAACGGGUGAGUAACGCGUAGGUAACCUGCCUGGUAGCGGGGGAUAACUAUUGGAAACGAUAGCUAAUACCGCAUAAUAGUAGAUGUUGCAUGACAUUUACUUAAAAGGUGCAAUUGCAUCACUACCAGAUGGACCUGCGUUGUAUUAGCUAGUUGGUGGGGUAACGGCUCACCAAGGCGACGAUACAUAGCCGACCUGAGAGGGUGAUCGGCCACACUGGGACUGAGACACGGCCCAGACUCCUACGGGAGGCAGCAGUAGGGAAUCUUCGGCAAUGGACGAAAGUCUGACCGAGCAACGCCGCGUGAGUGAAGAAAGUUUUCGGAUCGUAAAGCUCUGUUGUAAGAGAAGAACGAGUGUGAGAGUGGAAAGUUCACACUGUGACGGUAUCUUACCAGAAAGGGACGGCUAACUACGUG
rnacentral:rRNA from 1 species